AGGCAAGUUGCUUGCCGAGAGUGGCACUCAGAAAACAAUGGACGUGCUUUGUUAAGUUGGUGUGGAAGUGAUUCACAUGCUUGAUUCCAGCGCUAGCAGGACGUUCAGAAUCUAUUCCCUGGUCACUGUUACAACUUACAAGAUCUGCAACAGUACAACUCAAGGAGAUAGGUGGUGGAAGCAGGCCCUCUGAUUUCGUGAAGAUUUCUGAUCAUUAAUUCAUCUGAGAACUAGCCAGCUGGGUUUAUAACUUCGAUAAGUUUUCUUUACUACCUUCUCCAUUUGUUUUAAUAUUUGUGUCACACAUUCCAUUAUUAAUUUAGCAUCGAUAUAAGAUAUAUGCAUAUUGUGAGCAUAACAGCAAGGUGUAUAGAAUUAAAAGAAGUUUAUGCAUGGCACGAGCACGAUCGAGCACUAGAUGACUGGGUGGUACACAACAGAAGCAUGACUAUUGUUCUAGCUUUGCUCGGAAAGAUUUAGUCUCUGCACAAAACUAAGAUAAGUGUUUCUUUCUUAUCUAUUUUUUUAAUUCUCAUAAUUAUUGGAACAAUCAUGCUAGGUGCUAAAUAUAUUUUUAUCAUGCAAGAUCCUACGUGAGAAACAAUUAUUUAGUAUUUUGGAUUGUUUAAUAUUAAUGUGUUUUGUACAUGUUAACAUACUCAGACUCAUGCAUCAAUUUUGUUACCUAAUUUUAUAUAUAUAUAUAGAAUAAUUGAAUAUAUUUGUAUCAAGUACACAUGUACAACACUUGUUAUAAUUACUAUUCUACAUGUUUUAAUUUUUAUUCAUGAUUAUUGAUUUUAAUAUUUAUUGAUGACUAACCUGGCUAGACUAAUAUCAAUACGUGCAUAAAUUCUUGAUAUAUAUAUAUAUAUAUAUAUAUAUAUAUAUAUAUAUAUAUGUGUGUGUGUGUGUGUGUGUGUGUGUGUGUGUGUGUGUGUGUGUGUGUGUGUGUGCAGGUUCUGUCGGUGGUGAUUUAUGCACUGAUUAAGUGAUGAUGGUAUGAUGGAUUAAAGAGUAGUAAUCUAUAACAUGAGGAGAAUUAAAACAAUCUAACUACAGUCCAAAGAUAAAAGCUAAGUCUUCUUUUUCUUUUUAAUUAGAAUUUAUAAUUACACAUCGUAUGUCAUGCACAAAAAUUAUUUAUAUAUUAUAAAAUUAGGUGAGGCUUAUACCUUAUAUUAAAAAAAUAUAUUUUCUAAUAAAAAGUGUUGUAUGCAUUUUUAUAUUUAUUAAUUUAUUAAUAUGCAUGAAUCAUGUUAACAUUAUGUAUGUGUGUAAUAUUUACAACUUGGACUUGGACUAAUAGAUCUGUAGGCUGUAUAAACUAAUGUUUUGCAGGGAGAGAAAAUCAUGAUGACCGGAGAGGACAUGGAAUACCACCAUUAGGGAAUAUGAUGGGGUCGAAGAGGUUUGAUGUACUUUGGUGGAGCUACAACGGCCUAUCUCAAAUAAAGAUUGAUGAGUUGAGUGACAUGCAGUGGCGUAUUCGCAGGUGCUAAAGAAUUUCAGGAUGCUGUUGCACACCACUGGAAGAAGUUCAUUAAUAUGUUCAAGCCUCAGUGUACAAAUAAUCUUUUGUAGCACGUCCAGAAGUCCAGAAGGUAUAAAGUUUUAAUACUUUAUUUAUUCAGAAGAUUCCAUACUAUUGUUACUAAUGAAGAAGAACUACGAAGACAAAGAAUCGACGAACAAGCCUCGUUUCAAAUGUUUAUUUGAUAAAGAAUAUUUAAUUCAGCUAGAUACAGAUGAACCAGACAGUACAUUUGUGUGUCAGCUACUCAGAUUAAGUAUUCUGCAUCAACUACAAGUGGCCGUUCGAUCAAGACAGAGAUCUACAAAGUUUAAUCUAGCCGCAAGUCUCUGCUGAUGAAGAUAUAC